GCAAAGCCCCAUAUUCCAUUUCAGCUAGUUCAAAUAACGUAUUCUUAUGAAAGCAAAAGAGAGACCAAGUUCUAGGUGACAAACAGAGGAUAAUAGUAACGACUUAAAAGCUAUUGCCAUGUCGGUUACGUGAUUCAUCACGUCAAUUUCCUACGGAUCAUAGCGAGUUGGUGAUUUCUUUAGAGUAAAGUAAAAUUGAAGAAGAAUAGUUCUUGGCAUAUAAGGUUUAUCAUAUUAAUUGUGGAAGUUCUUGGCUGGACUGAGCUCUUGAACGACGUAAGGUGCAGAUACUCGCUUUGGAGAUCCACCAGCUUAGGAUUCCCUUUCUGCUGUCUUGGAGAGCUCCGUCGUUCCGGAGCCCAGAUUUUGGUACAGACCCUUUUUGAUGUAUAUAUGUAUAUGUUGUUCAGGGGUACGACGGGGCCCUGUCCCGUCAUAUUUCACUGUUGAAACUCUUAGAGGUCUGUAGACAUGUAUGUGGGUUGUAUUCCGAUGUGGUUAGUUGUGUAUAUGGUCAUUAUGUGUG